GAUGAACGCUAGCUACAGGCUUAACACAUGCAAGUCGAGGGGUAACGAGAGGAAAGCUUGCUUUCCUUGUCGACGACCGGCGCACGGGUGAGUAACGCGUAUCCAACCUGCCCCCAACUAGGGAAUAACCUUGCGAAAGUAAGACUAAUACCCUAUAAUUUCCUCAGAUGACAUCUGACGAGGAAUAAAGAUUUAUCGGUUGUGGAUGGGGAUGCGUCUGAUUAGCUUGUUGGCGGGGUAACGGCCACCAAGGCAACGAUCAGUAGGGGUUCUGAGAGGACGGACCCCCAAAGUGGAACUGAGACACGGCCCAAACUCCUACGGGAGGCAGCAGUGAGGAAUAUUGGUCAAUGGGCGGAAGCCUGACCCAGCCAAGUAGCGGGCAGGAAGACGCCCCUAUGGGUUGUAAACUGCUUUUAUACAGAAACAAAGUUAGCCACGUGUGGUUAUUUGUAGGUACUGCAUGAAUAAGGACCGGCUAAUUCCGUGCCAGCAGCCGCCGUAA
rnacentral:rRNA from 1 species